UCAGUUUUUACUUUUACAGCUUCUCCAUUUAUUAACAUAUUUGCAACAUUAGGACGUCACAGAAGAUCACACGACAAAAAAGAAGUUUUACUAAUUUUACAGUCUUAACACUUAGAACAGGGCGACUUCUUCAACAUUUAGAACUGAUUGAACAGAUAGGACAGAUAGGACAGAUAAAAUAGCCGCUACAGAAUCUACUAUAAUUACAGUAAUAACGAACGUUUGAGUUUUGCUGCUAGAAGAGAAGAGUA